CUCUCUCUCUCUCUCUCACUCCGGUAGUGUGCUAAAAGGCAAGACGGCAAACAGCUUUCGCCCCUGAAGCGGAUAAGCUGUGUGGAUAUGAGAGCAGUUAUGGCUGAGCUCUCGUCCACUUGGGGCUGCUGCGAGGACCCGAGGAAGUGGUAAUAACAGCAGGUUGGUGGUGUUGUGUGGCGGGCGACCAUGGCUCUCCAAGGUCCGUCACUCCUUCCCUCCCUGCUCGCCUUCAUCCUACAUCGGUACUUUGCUCCAUGACUGAAGAGUUACAACCGUACAUUAUGAAAAAUUUCUGCGUCACACCAUUACUACAUUGAACCCCUUUAUUACUGGAACACAUGUUUACCUUGAGAUUUUGUAUGCGAUCAGACUAUUUCAUUGACAUUAAGGAGAGUCUAUGCUAUGGAGUUCAGAAGAUUAAUGGUCACAGUCUUCGCUAUUUUAUUCUCCACAUGAGUUUCUGAAGCUGUAUAAAAUCACUAAACUAUAAGCAGAAUGAAUAUGGAAACGCGUCAUUGUACUGAAGGGGUUAAAUGGCUCCAGUUACAAUUAUACGGUUUUAUGAGUUUCUUUUUUUUUUUUCCAUGGUAUACACUAACAAGACUUCAGCGUUAACACAAGAAACACUAUGAAGAACCUCACUAAUCAUAUGUGGCCUGUUUGUCUUUGUUUUUAAGUUGAUGUAGUUUUUUCACAAGUCUAGUGACAGAAUAACAAAAUUUAUGCAUGUUUAAUAAAAAAAAAAAAAAAAAACACUCUUGAAGGCCAGACUAUUCAUCAUCAUGGGGCUUGGAAAACAGUCGUGGUGAGAGAGAGCAAAGUUUCCGAUUACCUUUACUGAGGAUGCCAAUGAAUAUCUGGUCAGGAUUCAUCACAAAUCAGUAAGCAAGAACCUUUAAUACGUCUCAGCAGUUUGUAUGCAUGGACUUCAACGAUAACUCCACAUCCGUUAAUUUAUUCAAGCAAUCUUAUCUAAUCACACACAAACACAGAGAGAGAGAGAGAGAGAGAGAGAGAGAGAGAGAGAGAGAGAGAGAGAGAGAACACAACACCAAUCCCUCCCUCUAUACAUUCCUAUUCACUGAGGUCAGCCGCGUGACCCUGGCCGCUACCAGACGCCGCGAGCCAAUCAGAUGAUGAGGGUACUUUUGGAGGUCAUCCCCUGGGGUUAGUGUCUGCCCCAUGGCCGCCACCACCACCACCACCAUCACCGCUACUGACACCACCACCAUUGCCACAAACCAUGACCUUUCCUCAGUUUCUCAACCUCAUUUGUUUUCUUUUCGUCUGAUUUCAGUAUCUUUUAGCUCUUUGCCUGUUAAUGUCACUGACACACUUCCAAGCUGCAGAUAAUUGCUGACUAAACACUUGUGAUCUUUUAUUUUCUGGUUUCCGGUAUCAAGCAUUUAUUCAGUUAUCUAUUUAUUUAUUUACAUUUUCGCCUGUUUCCACUGCGACGCUCAUAAGACUAAAGUUAGUGUUUUCUUUUCCCUUUAUUGUUUUCAGAAUAGGUUAACUUUUUUUAUCUCUAUCACUACGGCAUUAACUUACAAACUACGAGUAUAAACUGUUAAGACCCAAGCCAAAGUUAAGGGACUCCAAAUAUUUGGACAGACUUCUAGAUUACUUCUUUUACUAUCAGUAAUGCCUCGAAAUGACGCGGCAAACCUGCACCAGGUCAAUUUACAAACCCUUAAAACUCAUGGCAGUCAAGGAGUCAGGGUACAAACAAACUGAACAAACCAAGGAGAUGAUAUAUUUCCACAAAACGUUUAUUGUGCCAAGCCGAACACACACACACACACACACACACACACACACACACACACACACACACACUUUUUUCCGCCUUGUCAGAUAACAACACGUUUCGGGCAGCCUGUUUGAUACUCGUACAUAGCGGGCUGAGACAACAUGAUUGGUGUGAACGUGGAGGUGCGCCAACUUGUGUUCGUUCUGCUUGUUCAGUCUGCUGCGUCCUGAAGUACUGUUGUGUUGGAGAUGCUGCAUACUUUCUCUGGCCACUGGUUAUUUACUUUUAUCUCGUUAUUGUCUUUUUAUCUCUGUGUAUUGUAGGUUUACCACAGAUCAGCCCAAGACACAACGUACUUCCUUUAGGUGUAAUACUUAUAAUACUUGGCGUCACAGUUUGCUUCUUCCAUUAAUCGAGCAGUAAUGUAUCUUCUAUAUGUAUAAUACUUCUCACGUUUAUUACUGAUGUGAACCAAAUAUCAACGCACUUUCUACAUAUACGUAAAAUAUCUAGUUAUGGUUUACUAAUACUAUUCCAUUCUAUUUAAAUUUUCCAUCUAGUGAAUUAUAAGUGAAAGCCUUGUAUCUUUACUUUAAGCAUGUAAUUGAUAUUACUGUGAGACCCUUUACCAUUUUCUGAACGCUGACAGUCUGCGCAUGACCUCAGUACCGUGACUAGAAUAUAAAUUAACCCCUUUCAGUGCCGGAUGAGAUGCCAUAAGGUUAAACAUUUAUCCCACUACCUGUCUUUACUCCACUGAACUGCGCCACGCCCUACUCCAGUUGUUACCCAUCAGGCCCAGCAUUUGUUUGACUUACGAGCUCUAAGACGCUGCACUGUCACGCCACGCUGUUCACUCCCCCACACGACAUCUAACUUAACCUAACACUCUCUACUAUAACACUAGAUAGAUCGAUAAAGCGAAUACUUAUCACAGAUACUCUUCUUGCUACAAUAUUUCACGCCAGUAAGAUCGAUACCAUACGAACAUUAAACUUUACUAGCUACUACAAUAUUUCACACCACCACUAACACCAAGAUAUACAUAAGCACUUUUAUCUACCCUUUCUUCUAUAAUACUCCUCACAACACACAAAAAAUCUAGUGACGUCAAAAUAUGAACCCAAAAAGGACGAUAAUCUAUACUACUUUCCUGACUUCAAUUGUUGUCUCCUCUCCAACUUCCACAGAAACUUAAUAUCUUCAUGACGCGUUUUCAUAUUCUUUCUGGUUACUAUAUGGCGUCUUUAUACUGCUACAGAAACUUAAGUGGGGAUUGAAAUAGUGACGACUCUGGCCAUUACUCUUCUGACCUUCAUAGACACUUCCUAAUGUAAAUAAUAUCGUCUAAUCAUAACCACAAAAAUCAAAGUAAAAAUGUGUCUCAGUACAAAAGGGAGUUAAGAUGCUUGUACACGUAAAAUAUUCAUAUCAAAUAGAGCAAAUUAAACUACCACCACCACCACCACCACCACUAACAACAACAAUAAUAAUAGCUACUUAACCCAAUGCUGACCAAGACGUGCUUCAUAUACAAAGAUAUUACUCUAAAAUAUUUGCCAUCGUAAGUUACAGUCAUCUUAAGAUUAUACCAGGUGUGUGUCAGGUGUGCUGGCGGGGGUGGGGGUGUUGGGGGAGGUAGGUGGGUGAUGUAGCUGACAAAGGAAGCUGAGAGAGAGAGAGAGAGAGAGAGAGAGAGAGAGAGAGAGAGAGAGAGAGAGAGAGAGAGAGA
rnacentral:lncRNA from 1 species